AGGACGAACGCUGGCGGCGUGCUUAACACAUGCAAGUCGAACGGAUUCUCGGUUUCGGCCGGGGUUAGUGGCGAACGGGUGAGUAACACGCGGGUGACCUGCCUCAGACUCUGGGAUAACUCCGGGAAACCGGGGCUAAUACCGGAUAGUACCUGUCCUCGCAUGGGGGUGGGUGGAAAGUCGGUGUUUAGUAGACACUGUUCGGUCUGGGAUGGGCCCGCGGCCUAUCAGCUUGUUGGUGGGUGAUGGCCUACCAAGGCGGUGACGGGUA
rnacentral:rRNA from 1 species